rnacentral:rRNA from 1 species
CCUACGGGAGGCAGCAGUGGGGAAUAUUGCACAAUGGGCGAAAGCCUGAUGCAGCGACGCCGCGUGACGGAUGACGGCCUUCGGGUUGUAAGCCUCUUUCACCAGGGACGAAGCUAACGUGACGGUACCUGGAGAAGAAGCACCGGCUAACUACGUGCCAGCAGCCGCGGUAAUA